AAUAUUCUACAAUGGGGGCAACCCUGAUUCAGCCAUCCCGCGUGUGUGAAGAAGGUCUUCGGAUUGUAAGGCACUUCAAGUUGGGAGGAAGGGCUUUAGGCUAAUACUCUUAAGUUUUUACGUUACCGACAGAAUAAGCACCGGCUAACUCUGUGCCAGCAGCCGCGGUGAUACAGAGGGUGCAAGCGUUAAUCGGAAUUACUGGGCGUAAAGCGCGCGUAGGUGGUUCAGUAAGAUUGGUGUGAAAUCCCCGGGCUUAACCUGGGAACUGCUUUCAUAACUGCUGAGCUAGAGUACGGUAGAGGGUAGUGGAAUUUCCUGUGUAGCGGUGAAAUGCGUAGAUAUAGGAAGGAACACCAGUGGCGAAGGCGACUACCUGGACUGAUACUGACACUGAGGUGCGAAAGCGUGGGGAGCAAACA
rnacentral:rRNA from 1 species